rfam:Photorhabdus luminescens subsp. laumondii TTO1 complete genome
ACAAUACUAAGGCGCAAAGUGGGGAAAAGUAAACGAUGACCCAUCACCAAGUCUACGUUAGAAUGAUAUAUUAAUAUGUAAAAUAUGAUUGUGAACUCUGGGUAGUCCUAUGGUUUGCACUAUUGU